GGGGUUGACCGGAUUUGACAGCAGGCUGGAAUGGUACGUAAGCAUGCGGAGCCUUGUCUGCCGGCUCCUUAAUAUCAGCAGUCAAAAAUUUAUCUGGCGAAAACAAGUACGCUCUCGCUGCCUAAUCGAAGUACAGUAGAUUACUGGCUUUAUCCGGUCACAAGGUGACUGGACGAGACAUCGCUCAAAAGCUGUUGUUCCGAAGCUCUUUGGUAAAGCGGUGCGGUAAAAUCGGAAAUAGUCCGUCUGUGCCCUGCCGGGCGGAUGAAGUUUAAGGGGAUAAGGUUGUAGUUGGUGGUCCGGGUCUUGCCGCAACUCGAAAAACGAAGUCCGGAAUAAGCAUGUAGAAAGCGUAUGGUUUCCCUGUUUGGACGAGGGUUCGACUCCCUCCAGCUCCAC
rnacentral:tmRNA from 1 species